CAAACGAGGGGGGGGUUUUUUUUUUUAUAAAAUUGGGUUCCCUCCGAGCAGGGGGGCCGGAUGUCUUCCCCAACUGCGCACCUUUUGGAGACCUGGAGGUUUUUUAAUUUGCUCGAUUGAGGAUUUGCUGAGCUUUGAAAAAAAAGUUGGCUUGCCUUGCAUUUCCAGGACUAUGCUAUUUUUCACAACCUCUUGUUCAUAGUGUUGAAAUUGGAUAUCAUCUUGUACCUAUAUAAAGUUGAAUUUACAAUUUUCAGCAACGGAUCUCUUGGCUCUCGCAUCGAUGAAAAACGCAUCGAAAGGCUUUAAGUAAUGUGAAUUGCAGAAUUCAGUGAAUCAUCAUCUCUUUGAACUCGUCUUGCGCUUCUUGGUAUGCCGAGGAGCAUUCCUGUUUGAUUGCGGUUUAACUUCUCACCCUCAAUCAGGUGGGGUGGCCUCGCCUUGGACGAUGGGGGUUUUAUUUUUUUACAACCUUUGAAAACAAGGGCUGCUCCCCUGAAAAGCAUGAAAUGCCUCUGAACAAAACUACUACAGGUGGAUAAUUAAUCUAUGCCUUUGGUUACCACUGCGUGAACAGAUUACACUGCUUCUGAAAUCAUGUUUUUGACAAAUUUGACCUCAAAUCAGGUAGGACUACCCGCUUGAACUUAAACAUAUCAAUAAGC
rnacentral:sRNA from 1 species